UCGUGACGGGUGCGCCGCAGUGCCGCGCGGCGCGCGCGUCUUGUGUUUUUCCGCCUUAAGCGGACGUGCACCGCGAGUCGUGAUCGAUGGGAGUGACGUCUCUUUGACGAGCGUUUUUCGAUUUACAUUAUUUAAGUUCGUACUCGCCGGUGAUUUGGAGAAGCCAUGCGCGCCAUCGUUCCGUCGGUGCGUACGACGAGCAACUGGUACCGCCGUGCGGGCGGCUGUGAGAGAGGCCGAAAACUUCGUGUUUCGCACUACGCGUUCCGUCAAAGUUUGCGUUGUUCCCAAUUUCAUUUAUCGUCCCGUCGAUCGCGAGCGCACGGCCGCAAUAAUUAUUAGUCGCCGCGUGCCGUUCGCAAUCCAUAGAGCAGAUGUUCAAAUCGUCGCCCCGUCUUGUUAUUUCGCCGAUCACAACAUCGCCGCCGCCGCUGAUAUUUUUUGACGCGUCUAUAAAUCGUAUUGUCAUCGUCGUCGAUAAUAUAUGAUGUUAAGCAUACUACUGAACUCUGUCUCUGCCGACGUCGACUUAUAAUUAUAUUAGUUAGAAGUAUCUGUGUACAUAGGUCAUUGCUUUUGCGAUUGCCCUCUCAAGUAUAGGUACUCAACAUCGUCAGCUGGACAUCAUCGCAUUCCAAAACACCGCGACACAUGUGACUGGAAGCGCCGUGUCUGAACAACAAUCGCAAGAAAGAUUCCAACCCCACCGCCAACACUGACGAUGUCCGCCUGGACGGCGCAAUAUGUCAUCAGUGCUAUAUCGCCUCGAAUA